rnacentral:rRNA from 1 species
UUGAACGCUGGCGGCAGGCCUAACACAUGCAAGUCGCGCGGAUGAAGGGAGCUUGCUCCUGGCUUCAGCGGCGGACGGGUGAGUAAUGCCUAGGAAUCUGCCUGGUAGUGGGGGAUAACGUCCGGAAACGGGCGCUAAUACCGCAUACGUCCUGAGGGAGAAAGUGGGGGAUCUUCGGACCUCACGCUAUCAGAUGAGCCUAGGUCGGAUUAGCUAGUUGGUGGGGUAAAGGCCUACCAAGGCGACGAUCCGUAACUGGUCUGAGAGGAUGAUCAGUCACACUGGAACUGAGACACGGUCCAGACUCCUACGGGAGGCAGCAGUGGGGAAUAUUGGACAAUGGGCGAAAGCCUGAUCCAGCCAUGCCGCGUGUGUGAAGAAGGUCUUCGGAUUGUAAAGCACUUUAAGUUGGGAGGAAGGGCAGUAAGUUAAUACCUUGCUGUUUUGACGUUACCAACAGAAUAAGCACCGGCUAACUUCGUG